AGCGAACGCUGGCGGCAGGCUUAACACAUGCAAGUCGAACGGGCUUCUUCGGAAGUCAGUGGCAGACGGGUGAGUAACACGUGGGAACGUGCCCUUCGGUUCGGAAUAACUCAGGGAAACUUGAGCUAAUACCGGAUACGCCCUUUUGGGGAAAGGUUUACUGCCGAAGGAUCGGCCCGCGUCUGAUUAGCUUGUUGGUGGGGUAACGGCCUACCAAGGCGACGAUCAGUAGCUGGUCUGAGAGGAUGAUCAGCCACACUGGGACUGAGACACGGCCCAGACUGCUACGGGAGGCAGAAGUGGGGAAUAUUGGACAAUGGGAGCAAGCCUGAUCAAGCCAUGCCGGGUGAGUGAUGAAGGCCUUAGGGUUGUAAAGCUCUUUUGUCCGGGACGAUAAUGACGGUACCGGAAGAAUAAGCCCCGGCUAACUUCGUG
rnacentral:rRNA from 1 species